AGUGAACGCUGGCGGUAGGCCUAACACAUGCAAGUCGAACGGCAGCACAGUAAGAGCUUGCUCUUACGGGUGGCGAGUGGCGGACGGGUGAGGAAUACAUCGGAAUCUACUUUUUCUUGGGGGAUAUCGUAGGGAAACUUACGCUAAUACCGAAUACGACCUACGGGUGAAAGCAGGGGAUCUUCGGACCUUGCGCGAUUGAAUGAGCCGAUGUCGGAUUAGCUAGUUGGCGGGGUAAAGGCCCACCAAGGCGACGAUCCGUAGCUGGUCUGAGAGGAUGAUCAGCCACACUGGAACUGAGACACGGUCCAGACUCCUACGGGAGGCAGCAGUGGGGAAUAUUGGACAAUGGGCGCAAGCCUGAUCCAGCCAUACCGCGUGGGUGAAGAAGGUCUUCGGGUUGUAAAGCCCUUUUGUUGGGAAAGAAAAGCAGCAGGUGAAUACCCCGAUGUUCUGACGGUACCCAAAGAAUAAGCACCGGCUAACUUCGUG
rnacentral:rRNA from 1 species